GUACUGCUGAAGAGUCCCAAACUAGGACAAAGCAGCUGUCCAGUAC
rfam:Trichobilharzia regenti genome assembly, scaffold: TRE_scaffold0005262